rnacentral:rRNA from 1 species
CAUGCAAGUCGUACGAGAGUUUUUAACUCUAGUGGCGGACGGGUGAGUAACACGUGAGAAUUUGCCUUUAGGAGGGGGAUAACAAUUGGAAACGAAUGCUAAUACCCCAUAUGCUUUCGAGUGAAAUGGAUUUAUGUUUAUCCGCCUAGAGAGAAGCUCGCGGCUGAUUAGCUUGUUGGUAAGGUAAGAGCUUACCAAGGCGACGAUCAGUAUCUGGUUUGAGAGGACGAUCAGACACACUGGAACUGAGACACGGUCCAGACUCCUACGGGAGGCAGCAGUGGGGAAUUUUCCGCAAUGGGCGAAAGCCUGACGGAGCAAUACCGCGUGAGGGAAGACUGCCUAUGGGUUGUAAACCUCUUUUUUCAGGGAGGAAUCAAUGACGUGUACCUGAAGAAUAAGCAUCGGCUAACUCCGUGCCAGCAGCCGCGGUAAGACGGAGGAUGCAAGUGUUAUCCGGAAUCACUGGGCGUAAAGCGUCUGUAGGUGGUUUAAUAAGUCAACUGUUAAAUCUUGAGGCUCAACUUCAAAAUCGCAGUCGAAACUAUUAGACUAGAGUAUAGUAGAGGUAAAGGGAAUUUCCAGUGGAGCGGUGAAAUGCGUAGAUAUUGGAAAGAACACCGAUGGCGAAAGCACUUUACUGGGCUAUUACUAACA